GGGCCCGCGGGCCGGGCGGGCUCGGGGCGGCCGGGACGAGGAGGGGCGACGACGAGCUGCGAGCAAAGAUGUGCCCCGGGACCCCCGGCACCUUCCAGUGGAUUUCCUUGCGGAAAGGAUGUUGGCGGUCCCUGUGACCUGUGGAGACACGGCCAGAUCUGCCCUCCAGACCAUAGCUGUCUGCAGUGCAGGAAGCCAACUAUUAAGGGGAAACAAAAGUGUUCUUAGGAGUCCUGCUGUCACUGUGGAUUGAGCCGGUGAAGCCCUGAGGGAUUUCAUCGCUGAGGUGGAUGGAGAAGCAGCUGGGGGCCUUGGCUGUAAGGACCCCUAAGGGCCUGAUCUUUUGGCCAGAAGGAGAUUAAAAAGAUGCCCCUCAAGAUGGCUGUGCCUGUCAGCUGCAUGGAGCUUCGUUCAAGUAUUUUCUGAGCCUGAUGGAUUUACAGUGAUCUUCAGUGGUCUGGGGAAUAACGCUGGUGGAACCAUGCACUGGAAUGACACACGCCCGGCACAUUUCAGGAUACUAAAAGUGGUUUUAAGGGAGGCUGUGGCUGAAUGCCUCAUGGAUUCUUACAGCUUGGAUGUCCAUGGGGGACGAAGGACUGCAGCUGGCUGAGAGGGUUGAGAUCUCUGUUUACUUAGAUCUCUGCCAACUUCCUUUGGGUCUCCCUAUGGAAUGUAAGACCCCGACUCUUCCUGGUGAAGCAUCUGAUGCACGUUCCAUCCGGCGCUCAGCUGGGCUUGAGCUGACCAUACUCCCUGGAGCCUUCUCCCGAGGUGCGCGGGUGACCUUGGCACAUACAGCCAUCAUGAUGGUACUUUAAGUGGAGGCUGAAUCAUCUCCCCUUUGAGCUGCUUGGCACGUGGCUCCCUUGGUGUUCCCCUUUUACUGCCAGGACACUGAGAUUUGGAGAGAAUCCUGUUACACCUGGGAUUUAGGCACUUUCAAUCUGAAAAAAUACAUAUCCUUUCAGCACUCUGGACGGACUUGAGAACUGUCCUUACGUGACCUAAAGCUGGAGUAUUUUGAGAUUGGAGAAUUAAGAAGGACAGAAUAACGGGCUCCCAGAUUCACAAGCCCCACCAAGAGGAUCACCCCAGGAACGCUUGGAGGCUGAGGAGUUCACUGAGGCUACUGCAUCUUGAGACUCAGGAUGAAGACCCAGCUUGGGGCUGUCAAAGAGGCCUGAAGAGGCAGAACACCCCAGAGGAGCCUGGGGCCACCACCCAGCAUCACUGUGGGAAAACGGCAGCAGGAAAUGUCCUCUCGCCUGCGUGCUCCACCUCGGUCCACGCCUUCCCUCCUUCUGGAAGCCUUGCCUGACCACUGGCCUGCCCCUUCUAUGGGAAUCACUACUGACCUUGCAGCUUAUUAUAGACUUAUAUGUAUGCAGAAAUAUAAUUUUAAUUACUUUUAUAUUGCUCCGAGAGUGAUACCAAAUCAUGAUAGAAAAUUUAAAUAAACAAAAUAGCCAAAUUAAUACCAGUAAUCACCCCAGUCAAAUAUACCCAGCUCACAUUUUGAUGUAAAAUCUUCCAGUACAGUUUCUAUGUACAUAUAUAUAUUUUUAGGAAGGAGAUUAUAUUUUACAUGCUGUUUUCUAGAACGUUCUUUUAAAACUGUAUCAUAAACAUCUUGCCUUAUAAUUCAAUAGUCUUCUACAACAAACUUUGCUAAUGAAUUUUUUUUUUUAUCAUGG
ensembl:lncRNA PVT1 Pvt1 oncogene